AACGAACGCUGGCGGCAGGCCUAACACAUGCAAGUCGAGCGAGGACUUCGGUUCUAGCGGCGGACGGGUGAGUCACGCGUGGGAAUGUUCCCUUCUCUACGGAAUAGCCCUGGGAAACUGGGAGUAAUACCGUAUACGCCCUAUUGGGGAAAGAUUUAUCGGAGAAGGAUCAGCCCGCGUUGGAUUCGGUAGUUGGUGGGGUAAUGGCCUACCAAGCCGACGAUCCAUAGCUGGUUUGAGAGGAUGAUCAGCCACACUGGGACUGAGACACGGCCCAGACUCCUACGGGAGGCAGCAGUGGGGAAUCGUAGACAAUGGGGGCAACCCUGAUCUAGCCAUGCCGCGUGAGUGAUGAAGGCCUUAGGGUUGUAAAGCUCUUUCAGCUGGGAAGAUAAUGACGGUACCAGCAGAAGAAGCCCCGGCUAACUCCGUG
rnacentral:rRNA from 1 species